GGGCUUGUGGUUUAGUGGUAGAAUGCCAGUUUCGGGUACUGGCGAUCCGGGUUCGAUUCCCGGCAAGCCCU
rnacentral:tRNA from 2 species